GAUGAACGCUGGCGGCGUGCCUAAUACAUGCAAGUCGAGCGAACAGACGAGGAGCUUGCUCCUCUGACGUGAGCGGCGGACGGGUGAGUAACACGUGGAUAACCUACUUAUAAGACUGGGAUAACUUCGGGAAACCGGAGCUAAUACCGGAUAAUAUAUUGAACCGCAGGGUUCAAUAGUGAAAGACGGUGUUUGUGGAACGCAUAGAUGGAUCCGCGCCGCAUUAGCGAGUUGGUAAGGUAACGGCUUACCAAGGCAACGAGGCGUAGCCGACCUGAGGGGGUGUUCGCCCACACUGGAACUGAGACACGGUCCAGACUCCUACGGGAGGCAGCAGUAGGGAAUCUUCCGCAAUGGGCGAAAGCCUGACGGAGCAACGCCGCGUGAGUGAUGACGGUCUUCGGUUCGUAAAACUCUGUUAUUAGGGAAGAACCAAUGUGUACGUAACUGUGCCCGUCUUGACGGUAACUAAUCAGAAAGCCACGGCUAACUACGUG
rnacentral:rRNA from 1 species